GGGUGUCGUUCUUACUUCUUACCAACAACUUAUACAAAGUUGAAACUUGACAUAAUCGUUCUUGCAGAUAGACAAGUCAACCACCCAUAAUAUUAUCAUUCAAAUACAUUCGAGUUCAUAUAUGUAUCAAUUUUCAACUCAAACACACUGAUAAUUGGGAACAUAACAGAGGCCGAACUUAUUGACUGAUAUGCGUCAAUAUGUUGUCAUGAGUAAAGAUCAUACAUUAGCUGGACAACAAAACAAUGCUACCUAUGUUACUUAAUGCAAAAAUUAGAAGAGGGAGUGGUGUUUCUUUUGCUCCUGUUGUCAAGAAUCCUCAGUAGUUUUAUCAACUUUGCGUUAGUUUAUGCUUUUCACUGAUCUCACAUGUCCUUCCAGUUCCAGCAACAGAGAGGAAUCCCAAUAAUUAGACAAUGUAAGAAGAUGGAUCAAUUGGCUAAGAAUCAGGGUGAAAUUUAUUUGCAUAUACAAAAUCAUGGAAGACUAGGUUCAAUUUUGCCAAUAUAAAGUUACCUGAGGUGGAAUAAUCAAGGUCCGUGCUAGCCACUUUAUCAAGAAAAACAAUAAUUAUAUGCCUCAAGGAUAUUAAUAAAUGUAAUACACAUUAUAUGCUAAUUAAAGAUACCUUCUAAGACUCGUCCUCGCAAAGGUGUUUUAAUAGUCCCUGGAGUUCCUUGCUGUUAUUUAAUUUUUACCCUUGCUUUAACUAUAGCUCACACCUUUCUAGCAGGCACUCAUUUAUCUUACUACAAUCAAAAAUUGAUUAUCAAUGUUCAUAUUUCUCUAUUUGCUUCAUCUAUAUUAUUUGAGAAAAUAAUUUUUAAUUUGGUAAAACUUAUUAUUUGACGGAAUUACAAUGACAUUGUUGUAGCCUAAGUUCUUGAUCUCAAUUUUCACUACUCUCUCCCUUUCUUUGGGUGAAAUUAUGUGUAUGAGAGUCAAACUACUUAAAUUUUGAUGUAAAUUCGUAGAUUCUUCAAAAAAUUAAAAUAACAAGGAACACAAGGUAACUCCAAAAGACUUUUAUACCUUUGUUUAAAUUCAGUAAGGAUAACUCUGAGGACUAUAGCCGGAGAAGGAGGACGACGACGUUUUCGACUUCUCCUUAUACUUCCCCGCCGGCGAUCCGCUGAGAAGAACGGAACCUUCUUCCUCCUCAGAUCGGACUCUAUUUUCACUUGAUUUUACAACAAAGAGUGCGUAAAACAUAUAUAGAGGAAGUAGCUGCUCGGCUUUUGAGGUUUUUUUUACAAAGAUACACUUCUCAGUGGAGUAAACUGAUUACUGCGGGAACACGCAUUUGGUUUUUUAUUUUUAUUUCAAAAGAAUAAAAAUAAGGUGAUUAAUUUUGACAGACAGUGGGUUUCACUUUUCUACAAGAAGCAAUUCCAUUCAAAAGCUAUUGCAGCUCAAUCGCAUGAUUAAACGAAUUCUAGCAGAAGUGAAUUGGAAGUUUGGAGUCGGACCAAUAUUGACUUAGAAUUGUUUACUUGGACUCAUUCAUUGAGUAUAAAAUUAAGCUUUUACUCCCUGCAGCAGGAUAGAAAACUCUCGCCCAUAAGGUGUGUUUGACCAAAAGAUAUAAAAACUUUUUUGAUUAAAACCACUAAAAAUAAGGAUGAG
rnacentral:lncRNA from 1 species